AGUAUCUAUUGUAUUAGGAUGUGGAUUUUGACUGUUCUUCCCCAGGUCGUGUGGAUCCUGAUGCCCAGACCUGAUUUCUGAGAUCUUGUUUUGUGCCAUGAUGAACCCUGGAUGUGGCUGUGUGCUUGUUAACCUGAAACCCUGUGUUGGAAGUUGAAGUUAGUAUUUAUAUUUCUCAAAAUGGUGAACUGACCAUUAUUUGUGGACUGCUGAAGCACUGAUCAACUUUAUUUCUGAUACCCAUCUAAAAAGUUCAAGAUAAAAAUCAGAAGGCCAGGUGAGCUAUCAGCUUAAAAUGUGGAAAUGCUUCUCACUAUUUUGGAAAUA
rnacentral:lncRNA from 11 species